GAUGAACGCUGGCGGCGUGCCUAAUACAUGCAAGUCGAGCGAACGGACGAGAAGCUUGCUUCUCUGAUGUUAGCGGCGGACGGGUGAGUAACACGUGGAUAACCUACCUGUAAGACUGGGAUAACUUCGGGAAACCGGAGCUAAUACCGGAUAAUAUUUUGAACCGCAUGGUUCAAAAGUGAAAGACGGUCUUGCUGUCACUUAUAGAUGGAUCCGCGCUGCAUUAGCUAGUUGGUAAGGUAACGGCUUACCAAGGCAACGAUGCAUAGCCGACCUGAGAGGGUGAUCGGCCACACUGGAACUGAGACACGGUCCAGACUCCUACGGGAGGCAGCAGUAGGGAAUCUUCCGCAAUGGGCGAAAGCCUGACGGAGCAACGCCGCGUGAGUGAUGAAGGUCUUCGGAUCGUAAAACUCUGUUAUUAGGGAAGAACAUAUGUGUAAGUAACUGUGCACAUCUUGACGGUACCUAAUCAGAAAGCCACGGCUAACUACGUGCCAGCAGCCGCGGUAAUACGUAGGUGGCAAGCGUUAUCCGGAAUUAUUGGGCGUAAAGCGCGCGUAGGCGGUUUUUUAAGUCUGAUGUGAAAGCCCACGGCUCAACCGUGGAGGGUCAUUGGAAACUGGAAAACUUGAGUGCAGAAGAGGAAAGUGGAAUUCCAUGUGUAGCGGUGAAAUGCGCAGAGAUAUGGAGGAACACCAGUGGCGAAGGCGACUUUCUGGUCUGUAACUGACGCUGAUGUGCGAAAGCGUGGGGAUCAAACAGGAUUAGAUACCCUGGUAGUCCACGCCGUAAACGAUGAGUGCUAAGUGUUAGGGGGUUUCCGCCCCUUAGUGCUGCAGCUAACGCAUUAAGCACUCCGCCUGGGGAGUACGACCGCAAGGUUGAAACUCAAAGGAAUUGACGGGGACCCGCACAAGCGGUGGAGCAUGUGGUUUAAUUCGAAGCAACGCGAAGAACCUUACCAAAUCUUGACAUCCUUUGACAACUCUAGAGAUAGAGCUUUCCCCUUCGGGGGACAAAGUGACAGGUGGUGCAUGGUUGUCGUCAGCUCGUGUCGUGAGAUGUUGGGUUAAGUCCCGCAACGAGCGCAACCCUUAAGCUUAGUUGCCAUCAUUAAGUUGGGCACUCUAAGUUGACUGCCGGUGACAAACCGGAGGAAGGUGGGGAUGACGUCAAAUCAUCAUGCCCCUUAUGAUUUGGGCUACACACAUGCUACAAUGGGCAAUACAAAGGGCAGCGAAACCGCGAGGUCAAGCAAAUCCCAUAAAGUUGUUCUCAGUUCGGAUUGUAGUCUGCAACUCGACUACAUGAAGCUGGAAUCGCUAGUAAUCGUAGAUCAGCAUGCUACGGUGAAUACGUUCCCGGGUCU
rnacentral:rRNA from 1 species